GCCCCCAUAGCUCAAUGGAUAGAGCGCUAGCCUUCUAAGCUGGAUAUGUAGGUUCAAUUCCUACUGGGGGCACAA
rnacentral:tRNA from 1 species